rnacentral:rRNA from 1 species
GAUGAACGCUGGCGGCGUGCCUAAUACAUGCAAGUCGAGCGAACAGACGAGGAGCUUGCUCCUCUGACGUUAGCGGCGGACGGGUGAGCAACACGUGGAUAACCUACCUAUAAGACUGGGAUAACUUCGGGAAACCGGAGCUAAUACCGGAUAAUAUAUUGAACCGCAUGGUUCAAUAGUGAAAGACGGUUUUGCUGUCACUUAUAGAUGGAUCCGCGCCGCAUUAGCUAGUUGGUAAGGUAACGGCUUACCAAGGCGACGAUGCGUAGCCGACCUGAGAGGGUGAUCGGCCACACUGGAACUGAGACACGGUCCAGACUCCUACGGGAGGCAGCAGUAGGGAAUCUUCCGCAAUGGGCGAAAGCUUGACGGAGCAACGCCGCGUGAGUGAUGAAGGUCUUCGGAUCGUAAAACUCUGUUAUUAGGGAAGAACAAAUGUGUAAGUAACUAUGCACGUCUUGACGGUACCUAAUCAGAAAGCCACGGCUAACUACGUG